ensembl:lncRNA
CUUUCAGGCCUAUUUUAAAAAAUGGGGGGGGGGGGGGUUAGUAAGAUAGUAGGAUAGAAAGAUGGAAGGAAGGAUAGAUAGUNGAAUAUUCCUGUUUACAUGUAAAAUGCUCAAAUUCAGACUAAAGCCUCAUUCACACCAAGCACGAUAACUAUAAAGAUAACGAUAAAGGCAUUGUUCUAAAAAUCGUUCUCAAUAUUAAAGAAUAGCAGAGUCCACACCACAGCUAUUACUAUAAACGAUAUCGUUGGAAUCACUUUCAGAACGAUUUUUUCCAGCUGAUGAACGAUACAAACAUUGACUGCCAAUUAGAAUCCGUCCUGCUAUAACGAGCUGGAGAAUUUAAAGCAGCAGACAAGUGUGAAUAAACAGACGAUAUCGUCCACUGGUGUGAACACUAAUAUCAUUAUCUUUAUCGUUAUCAUCUUGGUGUGAAUGGGCUUAAGUCAGUCAGUUGUGCUGAAUUCAGAAUGGUCUCUGUUCUGUAGAUCACUAUGUCAUCAUCAAUCUGCGUCAGGACGGUGAAGUCAUCAGCACUAAGGAGACGAAGGGCGCCAGUGGAGCGAACGCGGUUUGGAACGCACCCUUUCUGUUGGAUCUGCCGUCUGGUGACAUUAGCAAACUACCCCUGCUCCUGGAGAUCAUCGUGAUGCAGGGACGGCUGUACACGAAGAGUUGCAUUCUGGGUCGUGUUCUGAUUGGCUAUGGAGGCUCUGAGGCGGGAAGGCAACACUGGGGCAAGAUGUGCAGCAGGCCACAGGUGGAGACGGCUUGCUGGCACGAACUCCAACUAAACUCCUGAUAGGCCUGGCAAAGCUUGAUUGACAUGCCCCUGAACCAAUCAGAUCGCUCACUGCUAUGCUUCUCAUUCCUAUUGGAUUUUUGGAUGGAACUGUGGAACCUGUUUUGAGGAGACUUGAGGAAAGUUUGUGUUGAAUUUGUUUGCAAAUAUCUCUAAUGUUACGGCAUCAUUGCAGGGUGUGUUUAUGGCUCAUUAACAAAAACAUCAGAUGUUGCUUUUGCACUACUGAACUGAUCAGUGUUGCUGCUGUGAACUGAAACAAGUUUUUGGUAAUUGAAAUAAAUUCAAUUCAGUUCACA